AAAUAUACGAUGGAAAGUAUGGUUAUAAAAGAUUGAGGUAAGAAACGUAGACCGCGGUAUCUCGGGUAAACAUGUUUCGGCUGAAUUACGAUGUUUCGUGGCGAAUCAUCGCGAACAGCUUGCAGAGACUUAUGAAUCGAGUAGGCGGUAUGAAAUCUCGUCACAAGUGCCUCGUGAACUGCUUUACGCAAUCUCACCGCGGCAAGAUAUAAAAGCGAUUUCAGUAUAGAUACAAUGGGCAACUUAUCUAAUAUUAAAUUAUUUCAUACAAAUUAUCAUUCAUAACUUAUAUUGUGAUCAUGAUCCUUCAUAAAAAUUUUCAUAAAAUAAUGUUACUCCAGCUCUUCAUAUAUCAUUACAAUAUUACAAUACAAAACUUAUUAGACCUAUUCCUUAAUAUAUAUCCUUAUUCGUACCUACUCCAAAUCAGACAUUGUGUUUUCUUAUAUGCUUCUUGACUUUUAUUAACCACACUAUUUAAGGGUUAAGGUCGCGCGCGACCCAUGGCUCCCGGAACGCGUGUCGCGUGUUCUCUAGCAUACGGCCCUGAUGGCUCGCGCGCCUCGUCAUUUGUCCUCGCCCCCUUUACCGCACUUUCCUCUUUCGCAGGAUACCAUCCGCCGCUCGCCAAGCCACUCGAUUUACUAACCCCACUCCUUUCGCGCCAACCGCCUCUCUCUCUUACGCUGCCUAACGCGUCGCGUGGCACUCUCUCCCUUCCACUCUCACUUCCUCCCUUCCACUCUUCCUCGUACCCUAUCUCCAUCUCUUUCUAUCCACCAACCAGUUCGUUCGUCCUUCUCUCGCGCGUUAUUCGAUUACGUUUCUUUCUCUUUCGGACGAAGUCGAGUCGUUGCUCUGUCUCUCCGAUUCACAUUGUUUUCUCCGAUUCCAUCUGCCAGCCGUUUUUACUUUUUUCUAAUGGCUUUAUCAUCGAUUUUUGAUCGUUCUACACGAGCAUGGAAUUGAUUUUGUUGUAAUCGCAGUAACGUUUGAUUCACAAUAAAGGGUAGCAAUUUAAACGUUUGUAUACCUCUAAUAACCGUUGAUACCGCGAAUCGAUAAAAAGCAGGAAAGGCAUAUGGUAAAAUGUUAAUCGUUUAACAUCGAGGAACGACAUAAACAUGUUUAUAUUCGAGCACGUCUUAAAUCGCGUAUAACGUCAACUGUGUCCGGUUGUUGUUUUAAGUAACGUUCUCCAGUCGCGUAUAAAAAGCGCUCGUCAUGGUUCACAAACGUCUUUAUCAUUCUUAUCACGAAUUCGAUAUACGGGCCACAAUAUACGUGCGCAUGAUAAUCUUUUCUCAUUUCUGGCUGACGUGCAUCGUGUUCGUUGCGUAUGCGCCAGAACGACCGGCGGACCGGUCUCUGUCUUUUUCUGUUUCGUUCCCGUGUUCGACCUCGAGAGGAAUCGGCGUAAGGUUUCUCCCUCCUCGUCGCACGUGCCGCGAUACGUUCGCGUUCCUCGUUCACGAAUCGUUUUCUCCUCGUUGUUCUGGCUAGCAUGUUCCUUUUCGCUCUGGCGUUUUGUUCUCCGUCGCAGAUGCUCGCCACUCGCCAGUGCCGACAACCUCCCCCACCCGAGUCGCUCCGCGAGAAUGAUCGAGACAAGCUGACGAACAUCGAAGUCUUGUGUGCUUACCAAAACCAUUUUCCUAUUACUGACGCCGAUUACUUAUUUCUAUUCCAUUUUACUAACGUCUUGUAAACAUUCUCAUGAUAUUUUUCAUCUUUUUUUCAUGUUAUAAGGAGAAGUACUUCCUCAAGCUGUUCCUUUAACGAUUUGGGGGCUUAUGAGUUAGAAAAUUGGUAAAAUAGUCAUUCUGUACAGCGUUGAGCGGUUGAUUUGAUACGAUUGUAUACGAUUGUAUUUGUACGUAAUAAAAUACGCUACAAGCUUCGGUUGCAAAUAGUGCAGAGGGGAUUCGUAAUUUUUGCGCGAAGGUUAUAUUUUCGCUUAUCAAAUAAAGCCGCACGUAGAGUUUUGGUAUACUACCUUGUAUCGUGGGUAGUUUCGAGUUUCUCGUGAACAGGAAACCGUAUCAUUUAGCGUCACCGUCCCACCAGUGAAAAUGCAUUAACUGGCAGUAGCUGCCAACAUUGCGGCAAAGUGAAACCCCUCGUCACGGUGUAGUCACGUUAAAGCGAGCCGCGUUAAAAUAGUGCAACAAUCGCCUGGCUCCGAAUAAGGUGAAACGUUGCUUUCUCGACUCUCUCUAUAGAACAUUUAC